rnacentral:lncRNA from 1 species
UGACUGCAGACACAAUGAUGUUUAUUAGAUGUUGAUGGCUAACCCUUUCCUAAUUCUUCCUACAACAAGCACAGCCCUUGAAUGGUUUUGAGAUGGCUCUGGAAAUGGCCCGGAACACCCUGACCAACAGGGGACGUUUAUGGGACUCCUGUGCAGGUGCUGGUGGCAGGUCGUCCUCAAGUUGGGGAAUGAAUGGGACAACAUGAUCAUCAUCUGUGAUAAGAGAACAUUGCAGGAUUAGAAUUGACCUUCCCUGUGGCUCAGUUGGUAGAGCAUGGUGUUUGCAACGCCAGCAUGGUGUGUGCAACGCCAGGGUUGUGGGUUUGAUUCCCACGGGGGGCCAGUACAGAAAAUAUAAAAAUAAAUAAAUAAAAAUGCAUUAAAUGAAAUGCAUGCAUUCACUACUGUAAGUCGCUCUGGAUAAGAGCGUCUGCUAAAUGACUAAAAUGUAAAUUGAACAUGGCAAAUGUACUUUCAUUCUCUCCGACCACAGUCUAAACCAACCAGACAAACGGUAAUACAUCAAAAUGACAGCAUCAAUGAUUUUGACCUUGGGAAAUGUAAGAGUUGCUACAAUGUUUGCCUGACAGCUCGUCAAACUCAGUGGCCUUGAUCAGAGAAAACAUUAUGGGACCAGAGGUUAAUAAAACUCAGCAUUAAACUCAGUAAAGCUGCAGUCACUCUGACCACUGGCUACAUCUUAGCAAUGCAUCAAAAGAAAAGGAUCAUCAUUGUGUGUCGCUUACCCAGCGCAACUCGAGAGGUGCUGAAACGCUGCGAAGGCAGCUCCUUUUGAGUGAGGUGGCUCUCUGGUUCCACUCUGCUCUUGAACACCUGUUGCCGGGUAAAUUCAUCCUUCCAUUAGACGCCCCACAAUGUCUCACUCUGACCCCAUUAGCUUUGGAUUCUAUUUCAGCCGUAAUGAAGGGCAAAACCCCCAAACAUGGAUCUCCAUACCUUGAUCCUGACCGUUGGCAACUUUGGGCAGCAACUGAACCUCUGGCCCUGGCUCUUCUUCUUCACUCUGGCAGAGGGGACGUGACGAGUCUCUGUAUCGGCAACAGCUGUAGAAGUGCACCUCACAGGCAAUUCAGUGUCAGUGCGGUUGGAAUGGAGCUCAGACAUGUCCUCAACAACAAAGUCACUGGAGGCCUGGCUUGUACCGGACCUGUGUGUACUUGUGGCCUGAGAGAGACAUCUCUCUGACCUGGGCACAAUAUCUGGGGGCAGAAGAGAUAAAAUAAUUAAGCUCAGGAUUAUGUUGUGUAUAUUUUACAAUAAUACACAAUCUUGAAAAUCCA